GUCUUUAAGGACUCUUCAGCUGGUCCAAAAUGCAGUAGCUCGGAAGAAGGGAAGCACAUCUCCCCUGUCUUAGCCUCUCUUCAUUGGUACCGAUUAAAUCUAGAAUUGAGUUUAAAAUCCUCCCUGUUACAUAUAACACGCUUAACGGCCAGGCUCCAUCAUAUCUCGACGAGCUUGUUAUACCGUACUUUCCAUCUAGACCGUUACGCACACAGUCUGCAGGCCUGCUCGUUGUACCAAAUGUCUCUAAAAGUAGUAUUGGAGGAAGAGCUUUCACGUCUCUUCUGGAAUCAUUUAACGCUCGAGGUUCGGGGGGCAGACACCCUCUCAACUUUCAAGAGUAGACUUUGCAUCAGUCCAUCUUAGAUGAGCUUGGGCCCAGAGAAGCCGGCGGCGUUUCUGGAUGCAGACCUGCUCCUGAUGAUCUGACGGGUCUGGAUGGUUCGUAACGUACCAGCAGAUCAGAAAUGUAUUUUGGUCCUGAACCAUUCACUGCUUUAUAAACCAGCAAUAGUAUCUUAAAAUCAGUUCUUUGACAGAUGGGAAGCCAGUGUAAAGAUCUGAGAACUGGGGUGAUAUGAUCUACUUUCUUGGUCUUAGUGAGGACUCGAGCAGCAGCAUUCUGAAUCAGUUGGAGCUGUCUGAUAAAUUUUUGGGGAGACCUGUGAAGACACUGUUACAGUAGUCGAGUCUGCUAAAGAUAAAUGCAUGGACAAGCUUUUCCAAAUCCUGCUGGGCCUAAAUCUAGAAUUGAGUUUAAAAUCCUCCCUGUUACAUAUAAUACGCUUAACGGCCAGGCUCCAUCAUAUCUCGACGAGCUUGUUAUACCGUACUUUCCAUCUAGACCGUUACGCACACAGUCUGCAGGCCUGCUCGUUGUACCAACUGUCUCUAAAAGUAGUAUUGGAGGAAGAGCUUUCAGCUACCAGGCACGUCUCCUCUGGAAUCAUUUAACGCUCGAGGUUCGGGGGGCAGACACCCUCUCAACUUUCAAGAGUAGACUUUGCAUCAGUCCAUCUUAGAUGAGCUUGGGCCCAGAGAAGCCGGCGGCGUUUCUGGAUGUUAAAAAUAGACUUUUAACGUUCCUCUUUGAUAAAGCUUAUAGUUGGGGCUGAUUUGAACCAGCUCUUAGUUAUGCUGCUAUAGGUCUAGACUGCCGGGGUUAUCUGGCACACUGAGCUAGAGUCUGUCUCUAUCUCUCCUUUAGAUCUUUAUGUCCCAUAUAAGUCACUUACCAGAUUUCUGUCUCUCUGAGUGUCUCUGAGUCUCUUAGCUCCCACUGGACUAAUGCUGCAGACGGUCUGCUGCGGAACUGCCUGACCCCAGCUGCAUCAUCCCUGAUUGUCCACCUUGGGCCCUGAGCUCCUCCAUCUCUUAGGCUCCUCUGGACCGUUGCUGCAGACAACCCCUGUCCCUUGGUUGCUCUGGACUGAUGGCUGCUGCAGACCUGCCUGACGCUAGUCAAGUCAACUCAAGUCAAGUUUAUUUGUAUAGCACAUUUCAGCAGCAGGGCAAUUCAAGGUGCUUUACAUGAAACAAGCAGGCAAAACAUUCAACACAAUUUGAAAAGUAAAAACAGCGUAAAAGACAUUUAACAAAUUAAAAGUUACAUUCAAAGCUAAAAUAAGGUUGGAGAUAAAAGAAAACAAAGGUUAGAUUGGAAAGAGAGAAAAAAAGAUCAAGACAGGCAGAUGAUGGGGAUGUUGAUUAGAGGCCUCAGGUUUGAUUCAAUAAUAGGCCACAGCAAACAUAUGCGUUUUCAGCUGUGAUUUAAAAGAGAUGAGAGUUUCAGCAGACCUACAGUUUUCAGGGAGUUUGUUCCAGAUAUGAGGAGCAUAAAAACUAAAAGCUGCUUCUCCACGUUUAGUUCUGACUCUGGGGACAGAGAGCAGACCUGCUCCUGAUGAUCUGAGCGGUCUGGAUGGUUCGUAACGUACCAGCAGAUCAGAAAUGUAUUUUGGUCCUGAACCAUUCACUGCUUUAUAAACCAGCAUUAGUAUCUUAAAAUCAGUUCUUUGACAGAUGGGAAGCCAGUGUAAAGAUCUGAGAACUGGGGUGAUAUGAUCUACUUUCUUGGUCUUAGUGAGGACUCGAGCAGCAGCAUUCUGAAUCAGUUGGAGCUGUCUGAUGGAUUUUUUGGGGAGACCUGUGAAGACACUGUUACAGUAGUCGAGUCUACUUAAGAUAAAUGCAUGGACAAGCUUUUCCAAAUCCUGCUGGGUCAUCAGUCCUUUAACCCUUGAUAUAUUCUUCAGGUGAUAGUAGGCUGAUUUUGUAAUUGUCUUUAUGUGGCUGUUAAGAUUCAGGUCUGAAUCCAUGACAACACCAAGGUUUCUGGCUUGGUUUGUGCUUUUUAACAUUAUCGAUUGAAGCUGAGCGCAGACUUUUAAUCGCUCUUCUUCUGCUCCAAAUACAAUUACUUUAGCUUUAGCUUUGUUUAGUUGAAGAAAAUUCUGACACAUCCAAUCAUUGAUUUGUUCAAUACACUGACUCAGUGUUUGUAUUGGAUUGUAGUCGCCUGGUGAUAUGGUUAUGUAAAUCUGUGUGUCCUCUGCAUAAUUAUGGUAAGAUAUUUUGUUGUUUGCUAUGAUUUGAGUUAGAGGGAGCAUAUAAAUGUUGAAUAGGAGUGGCCCCAGAAUGGAGCCUUGGGGAACCCCACAUGUCAUUUUUGUUUGCUCUGAUGUGUAAUUACCUAGAGACACAAAGUAGUCUCUAUCCUUUAAGUAGGAGGCAAACCAGUUAAGUACUGUUCCAGAAAGUCCCACCCAGUUUUCCAGUCGAGUAGGAUGCUGUGGUCAACCGUGUCGAAAGCGGCACUGAGAUCGAGCAAUACUAGGACUGAAAUUUUGCCAUUGUCUGAGUUUAAGUGGAUGUCGUUAAAGACUUUGAUAAGAGCAGUCUCAGUGCUGUGGUGCGGUCGAAACCCUGACUGGAAAACGUCAAAACAGUUGUUUAGGACUGAGAAGUUGUGAAGCUGUUAGAAGGCUGCUUUUUCAAUGAUUUUGCUUAAAAACGGGAGGUUCGAUAUAGGCCUAUAAUUGUUCAUUACUGAGUUGUCUAGGUUGCUUUUUUUUAGGAGAGGCUUUAUGACAGCAGUUUCAGGGCCUGUGGAAAGACACCUGACAGAAGAGACAUGUUGACAAUCUGUAGAAGAUUUGAGGCCAUGCAAUUAGAAACUGUUUUAAAGAAACCUGUUGGCAGAAUAUCAAGGCAGCAGGUGGAGGAGUUCAGAUUUAGUAUGAUGUCCUCCAGAAGAAGGAGGAAAAUUCAUUACAAGCCUUGGCGGACAGAAAUUCAGAGGCUACUGAUACUGGAGGGUUUGUUAGCCUGUCGACUGUGGUAUAUAGGGCGCGUGCAAUAUUUUUGUUUUUGGUGAUGAUGUAGCCGCAUCGUCUAUUAUUGUCCGCCUCAGGCCCUGAGCUCCUUCUUCUCUUGGAUUCCUCUGGACUGUUAGCCGCAUCAUCUAUUAUUGUCCACCUCAGGCCCUGAGCUCCUUCUUCUCUUGGAUUCCUCUGGACUGUUACUGCAGACAUGAACAUCAGCCUCACUGACAUUAAGAACAUAAAACUAGAGCUGACUACGAUUAGGCCUGCUGACUGUAAUCACAUUUAAUUAAUUUAACAUUGUCCAUAAUCACUCAUAUCCUAACCCUGUAAACUGAACUCAUUCUGUUUCACCAGUACAUGAGCUGUUGUUGUCGUUGCUGUUGUUUCUGCUGUCCUUUCUCUCUCUCUCACCCUCGUUCUCUACUCUCUCUCCCUCCCCCUCCCUCUCCUUACUCAUUCUCUCUCUC
rnacentral:lncRNA from 1 species